GACCGGCGCACGGGUGAGUAACGCGUAUGCAGCCUGCCCGAUACCGGGGUAUAGCCCAUGGAAACGUGGAUUAACACCCCAUAGUACUUUUAUCCUGCAUGGGAUGUGAGUUAAAUGUUCAAGGUAUCGGAUGGGCAUGCGUCCUAUUAGUUAGUUGGCGGGGUAACAGCCCACCAAGACGAUGAUAGGUAGGGGUUCUGAGAGGAAGGUCCCCCACAUUGGAACUGAGACACGGUCCAA
rnacentral:rRNA from 1 species